rnacentral:lncRNA from 1 species
AAGUUUUUCUCAUCCCUCUCUAAGAAAAUACCUGGAUUUCCCUACUUUAUUUUUAAUGUCCUACUUUAGAAACAUGUAGACUUAAAAAUGACAGAACAUGGAUUGAAAAUUCAAAUAUUUAAAUUGAAAACUUCACACAUGCUCGCCAGAACAAUUCUAUUCUUUCAUCCCCUCUUUUGGCGAUUGACUCUGUAAACAGAGCAUGGAAAUCCUGAGUCAGUUUUUUCACCCACAAAAUACUGAAUUACAUAACACAUUUCAUCCAAGGAUUAACUUCAAAACACAUAACUUGACUUUGCAUUCUCGACCGAAAGAAGAGGAUAUUUUAACUGCAUAAUUUUAUAUAUAUAUAUACACAUAUUUCAACAAGUUCUUAAAGAAGUAUACCUGCUAUAAAUUUAAACUAUUUCUAAAGACAAAUAUUUUAGUAUUAAAAUAACAUACUUGGCAUGAAAAGAAACCUUGGCAUAUAAACCCUGUUGAGUAUAAAUAGAAUAUUGUACAAACUGCUUCAUUUACCUAUACCAGGGCUUAAAAGGAUCAAUUAUUUGAUAAAAUAUUUAUUGAUGGGAGAAACAGUUGAACAGAAAAAGUAAUAACGAAAUAGUAAGAAAAACCUUCAAAGAUGAANACGUUCAUAAGAGAGGAAUGAGAACAUGUAUUUAUUAAACCCCCAAAUGUGCCAGGUCCUUAGUAUGCACAUUUUCUUUUCUACGUGCAAAAAUAAUAAUCAAAAUGAUCAUAAGGAAGGGACCAGACUGGGGUACCUGGUGCUCGCCCUGGGCCUGUGCCUAGGGCUUGGGACCCUGGCAGUUGUCCCCCGGUGUGGCUGGAAAAAAUGAUCCUGGUCAUUCCAGGAUAUGAGAGUGAAAUGAUGAACAGAAGGGACCCAGUCUUCUCUCUGUCCAGAUGGUCCCUUCUCCAAACCUUCACAUGACUGGCUCCAUCCCUUGGCAGCUCUUGUCACCCUCAGCUCUCUUCUAACAACCUCCAUUCCACCCUCACGCCCAUCCUCUGCCAAACUCCCCCAGUGUUGUCUAACCUAACCGUCUCCAUGUCAGGUUAUUCCCAUGAAGGUCUUACAGUGAUAUCGGAAAGAUUUGUUUUUCUGCUUCUACCACGACAGCCUAACCCCUCAGCUGGUACAUUCUGUGUCCAAGUGCCAGGCCCAUAGUUGGUAUUCAACAAUAGGAAUUUAUUUAAGGUCAAAAUAUUUAAGAUCUCGAGAGGGGGAGUUCCCGUCGUGGCGCAGUGGUUAACGAAUCCGACUAGGAACCACGAGGUUGCAGGUUCGGUCCCUGCCCUUGCUCAGUGGGUUAACAAUCCGGCGUUGCUGUGAGCUGUGGUGUAGGUUGCAGAUGCGGCUCGGAUCCUGCGUUGCCGUGGCUCUGGCGUAGGCCGGUGGCUACAGCUCCGAUUAGACCCCUAGCCUGGGAACCUCCAUAUGCCGCGGGAGCGGCCCAAGAAAUAGCAACAACAACAACAACAACAACAACAAAAGACAAAAAGGCAAAAAAAAAUAAAAUAAAAAAA